GACUGAGUGUUGCUGUGAGACAAAGAAAGGAGAUUUGAAGAUAAAGUCUCCUGAUUUAAAAUGUGACGUCGACAACGAAAACUGUGACUGCCCGUCUAAAGCUUCUGAUGCCAAAUGCUGUGAUCACGAAUUGUUUUACGAGGACAAGCAGUUGUGUUGUGGCAAGAAUGGUGAGAAGAAACUCCUCA